AAAGUCGUAACAAGGUUUUCGUAGGUGAACCUGCGGAAGGAUCAUUAGUGAAACACAAGAGCGCUCUUCAUUGAGGCUCGUUUUAUCUAUCCAUUACACUUUGUGCAUUUGAAACUUGACACUUUAGUCUCCGGACUUUAGUAUCUCUAUAUUAUAACCCCUUUGAAUUUUUAAUUGUUUGAUGAUGAUGUAUAAACCUUGAAAUGAAGGAAACAACUUUCAGCAACGGAUUUCUUGGCUCUC
rnacentral:misc_RNA from 1 species